CAAUGCCCAUGCAUUGCGUGCAGUGUCCCACAAGGUGGAUGCGGUAUACUGUGACGGAGGAUGCAGUGCCCAUGAAGGAGGAUGCAGUGAGCCUGAAGUGAUUGCAGUGUGCUGGCAGUGCCACUUCAACUGUAUACAGUGUCUCUGCAGUGGUUGCAGUGCUGUCAGCAUUGUCCGGGAAUGCGGAUGCAGUACCCAGGAGGUGGAUGCAGUGUCACACAAGUUGGAUGCUGUAUGUUGUGACAGAGGAUGCAGUGCCCAUGAUGGUGGAUGCAGUGAUCCUGCAGUUGUUUCCGUACACACUGCAGUGUCCCUGAAUGUGGAUGCAGUGAACACGAAGAGGAUGCAGUGAUUCUGCAGUGAUUUCUGUGCACCUGCAGUGCCAUUUCAGCUGGCUGCAGUGUGCCUGCAGUGGUUGCAGUGCCCCCUUCUGUGUCUCUGAAUAUGAAUUCAGUGCCCAUGCAUUGGAUGCAGUGAACCAAUAGAUGGAUGUGGUAUGUUGUGACAAAGGAUGCAGUGCCCAUGAAUGUUGAUGCAGUGAUCCUGCAGUGGUUGCAGGGUGCAUGCAGUGCCACUUCAGCUGGAUGCAGUGUCCCUGCAGUCGCUGCAGUGCAACCGGCACUGUCCCUGAAUUUGGAUGCACUGCUCAUGCCGUUAUGAAGUAUGUUGUGAUGGAGGAUGCAGUGCCCAUGAAGGCAGAUGCAUGAUCCUGCAGUGAUUGCAGUGCGCCUGCAGUGCCACUUCAGCUGGAUCCAGAGUCCCUGCAGGGGCUGCUGUGUCUG
rnacentral:lncRNA from 1 species